rnacentral:rRNA from 1 species
UACGAAGGGGGGCUAGCGUUGCUCGGAAUCACUGGGCGUAAAGGGUGCGUAGGCGGGUCUUUAAGUCGGGGGUGAAAUCCUGGAGCUCAACUCCAGAACUGCCUUCGAUACUGGCGAUCUUGAGUCCGGAAGAGGUGAGUGGAAUUCCUAGUGUAGAGGUGGAAUUCGUAGAUAUUAGGAAGAACACCAGUGGCGAAGGCGGCUCACUGGUCCGGUACUGACGCUGAGGUGCGAAAGCGUGGGGAGCAAACAGG